GCGGGACCUCAGGUGAGGC
rnacentral:rRNA from 1 species